rnacentral:ncRNA from 2 species
GCAAAGGUCGGCGCCGAUUUGUCUGAUCCGCUUGCGGGCGCCUCAAAAAUCCCGCUAAAAGGUCCAUAUGGUCUCACA